CGAUGAUGCUGUUAUAGAGAGGUUUGACUGUAUAUGAUAUCGGACAGUAAGAAGAAAUUACAUGUUAUUGUAAUAUAUUAAUGGUGUAAAGAAUUUAUACAUGGUCCUUGCACAAAACUUUACUCCUUUGAAAAUGAAAGCCACUGAAGACUAAUGUCUCUUUCACUAAAAGUAAAGUCUUUCUUUACAAUUCCUCUUUUUUUUUUCUUUUUUUUUUUCAGUGGUCAAUGAUUGCCCUAUACAGUGAUAUAUUGCUCUUUAUAUGUCACUGCUUGCCUUAUGAAGAACACCACAAUAAGACUAGCUAUAUACUUCAAUUUCUUUGCUAAUGGCUCUUUCAUGUAGCUUAGUGCCCAAAACCAUGCUAAUAUUUCCCAGCUUCAAGCCAUGUCUGCUCAAGACAGUAAUAGCCAUGAGAUGCAUAAAUAUAACAAGGAGGCCACCACCAAGGCCACCCAUAAAAACUAAACCACCACAAAACAAUGAUUACAAAGACAAGAAAGAGACUACGAUGACAGAGGAGAAGAGUAACACAAAGCUCCAAGAAGAUAAUUCAAAGAUCAAAACAAAUUAACUAGGAAUCUUGUUUGUUAAAGAUCAUAAUAAGUCAUUUGUACUUGGUCUAAAGUUAGUCAAGUCCAAAAUGCUUUUAUGAUUAGUGAAACUAGUAGCAAGACAGUGGUCCUUUUUCCUCCCAACGUAUAAAAGUAGCAUGAUAUUUUAUUUUGUAGUAGAUGCUUGUGUGGUAAAAUUCACAAAUAGCCACUUUUCAGCUCUUGUUGAAAAAUAAUUUUUCAAUGUCAUGAAGUUUCAAAUUUCACAAAUAAAACUUCAGGACGCUUGCAUGGAGUUUCACCAGUAAAAUUUGAAAUUCCAUGACAAUGAUUAUUUUUCAAAAACAUAACCGAGAAGGGCAAGUGAGGUGCUAUUUCUACUGUGUGCUUGUAUUGUCCUUCUAUUUCCUAUUUUUCUUUGGUUAUCAUGUUAGGGGUCUAUUUGUUCGUGUACAAAUUAUGUGGGGAUUGUAAUAUAAUGAUUGUAAUGUGCUAUUGUUAUCA